GCGUAUUUCCAGCUGCUGCCGUAAAUUUUGCGCAGCUUGAAAUAUGCUGCGUAUACGCCGUGUGGGAACGCACCCUUAAAUGAAAUAAGUACAUAGACAGCCAAAGUAAUGGUAUUUAUUACCUGAAAUUUUGUCCGUAAUAUUAUCCAUUACUGUGGAGUGAGCAUGCUGAGGUCAGAGCCUUAGUACACACGCUGAGGUUUCUGAUAAGACAUAGUCUGAUGUGGUAAAGAGAGGAAAUGAAAUGAAAUAUGGCUCCUAAAGGUUUGACCUCUUGAUGAAGGAGAUAUAUCCUGCUUCUUAACAACAACCAUAAAGAUAGAAGAGACAUAUUCCGUUCCCUAGCAACAAUUUUAAAGAUGGAUCUUGGUUUCUGCUGAAAACCCCUUUUUUUAAACUCUCUUCCUUGACUGAUGUAUGCUGCGAAUCUGGAGAUUUCUCUCCUUGGAACCCAACACAGACUCUGAUUUUCGAUAUUUUUGGGAACUGACUUAUGAUACAAGUAGCUGCCCUGCUAUUGGCUAUUUUAUGGCAGGAGGGGACUACAAGAUGCACUCCUAGCUGCCCUGCUAUUGGUUACUCGAUUGCACUCCUAGCUGCCCUGCUAUUGGUUACUCGAUUGCACUCCUAGCUGCCCUGCUAUUGGUUACUCGAUUGCACUCCUUGCUGCCCUGCUAUUGGUUACUCGAUUGCACUCCUAACUGCCCUGCUAUUGUUUACUCGAUUGCACUCCUAGCUGCCCUGCUAUUGGUUACUCGAUUGCACUCCUAGCUGCCCUGCUAUUGGUUACUCGAUUGCACUCCUAGCUGCCCUGCUAUUGGUUACUCGAUUGCACUCCUAACUGCCCUGCUAUUGGUUACUCGAUUGCACUCCUAGCUGCCCUGCUAUUGGUUACUCGAUUGCACUCCUAACUGCCCUGCUAUUGGUUACUCGAUUGCACUCCUAACUGCCCUGCUAUUGGUUACUCGAUUGCACUCCUAGCUGCCCUGCUAUUGGUUACUCGAUUGCACUCCUAACU